rnacentral:rRNA from 1 species
UGGGGAAUUUUCCGCAAUGGGCGCAAGCCUGACGGAGCAACGCCGCGUGAGGGAGGAAGGCCUGUGGGUUGUAAACUUCUUUUCUCUAGGAAGAAGGACUGACGGUACUAGAGGAAUCAGCAUCGGCUAACUCCGUGCCAGCAGCCGCGGUAAGACGGAGGAUGCAAGCGUUAUCCGGAAUUAUUGGGCGUAAAGCGUCCGUAGGCGGUUAUUCAAGUCUGCUGUUAAAGACCACAGCUCAACUGUGGGCAGGCGGUGGAAACUGAGUAACUAGAGUUCGGUAGGGGUAGAGGGAAUUCCUAGUGUAGAGGUGAAAUUCGUAGAUAUUAGGAAGAACACCGGUGGCGAAGGCGGCCAUCUGGUCCGGCACUGACGCUGAGGCGCGAAAGCGUGGGGAGCAAACAGGAUUAGAUACCCCUGUAGUCC